UUAAUUGAAGAGUUUGAUCAUGGCUCAGAUUGAACGCUGGCGGCAGGCUUAACACAUGCAAGUCGAGCGGUAACAGAGAGUAGCUUGCUACUUUGCUGACGAGCGGCGGACGGGUGAGUAAUGCUUGGGAAUAUGCCAUAUGGUGGGGGACAACAGUUGGAAACGACUGCUAAUACCGCAUAACGUCUACGGACCAAAGAGGGGGAUUCUUCGGAACCUCUUGCCAUUUGAUUAGCCCAAGUGAGAUUAGCUAGUUGGUGAGGUAAUGGCUCACCAAGGCGACGAUCUCUAGCUGGUUUGAGAGGAUGAUCAGCCACACUGGGACUGAGACACGGCCCAGACUCCUACGGGAGGCAGCAGUGGGGAAUAUUGCACAAUGGGCGAAAGCCUGAUGCAGCCAUGCCGCGUGUGUGAAGAAGGCCUUCGGGUUGUAAAGCACUUUCAGUUGUGAGGAAAGGUGGGUAGUUAAUAGCUG
rnacentral:rRNA from 1 species